UUGUUUUGUGUCAUGGCUAGCUUGCAUCUAAAUGUGUUAAGAAGAUAAUAGAGGUAUCUUCUUAACACUUCAAUUUAUUUAUAUUUUGUUUGUUGUUUUUGGGAACUCAGUGCAUAUUUUUGUUUAUGCAUUCUCUUUCCUAUUUGGUAAACGGAUUUGUAUAAGUUUGAAAGGAAAGUGAGAGCAAAAACAAAAUUUCUUCUUCAACUUUUAGAAAUAAUAUUCAUCUUUGCGAAGUCAUUCAUCUUGAUUUUUUUUUUGUGAUCUAAUGUGUAUUUAUUAUGUAAAUUUGUGUUGGAUCAGGCUAAAUUUAAGACAAAGAAGUAUUGUUUAGAUGACGAAGUCUGAAACACAAGUUGAAUGAGAAGGAAAUGAAGUUGCAAGAAUAAUAAAGGAAGAAAAAGAAGACGACGAUAAUGGAGAUAGAGACUCUGUUGAUUACGAAGGAAAUGAAG
rnacentral:lncRNA from 1 species